rnacentral:rRNA from 1 species
GACGAACCGUGCGAACGUUGUUCGGAAUCAUCUGGGUCGUUAAAGGGCGCGUAGGCGGUUGAUCAAGUCUGGGGUGAAAUCUUUCGGCUUAACCGGAAAAGUGCCUUGGAUACUGGUCGAGCUGGAGGGAGGUAGGGGCAGUUGGAACUUCCAGUGGAGCGGUGAAAUGACGUUGAUAUUGGAAGGAACGCCGGUGGCGAAAGCGAGCUGCUGGACCUCUUCUGACGCUGAUGCGCGAAAGCUAGGGAGCAACGGG